AUGGCUAUCGGCGACUAUCCCGCGGAGUAUAAUCCGAAGGUCCACGGACCGUACGAUCCGGCACGCUUUUAUGGAAA
rnacentral:lncRNA from 1 species